AGUGAACGCUGGCGGCAUGCCUAACACAUGCAAGUCGAACGGUAACAGGCCCGCAAGGGUGCUGACGAGUGGCGGACGGGUGAGGAAUACAUCGGAAUUUGCCCAGUCGUGGGGGAUAACGUAGGGAAACUUACGCUAAUACCGCAUACGACCUAACGGUGAAAGCGGGGGACCUGCAAGGGCCUCGCGCGGAUGGAUAAGCCGAUGUCGGAUUAGCUAGUUGGCGGGGUAAGAGCCCACCAAGGCGACGAUCCGUAGCUGGUCUGAGAGGAUGAUCAGCCACACUGGGACUGAGACACGGCCCAGACUCCUACGGGAGGCAGCAGGU
rnacentral:rRNA from 1 species